CAUUAGCUCAGCUGGUAGAGCACCUGACUCUUAAUCAGGGUGUCACAGGUUCGAACCCUGUAUGAC
rnacentral:tRNA from 1 species